rnacentral:tRNA from 1 species
UAUAAAGUAGUAUUUAAGUACGAUGGGUUUUGAUCCUAUAAGAGCGAACUAAUUAGCGCCUUUAUAU